GAUAAGGCACGCGCCUCUGCAAGUUCAAAAAUGGCGUCUCGGACACGAGCUGAGGGUGGGGGUUCCCGCCAGACAUUGGCCACUCGCGCAUGCCCAGUUGGAGAGUGGGUGGUCCCAUCCACUCUUAACCAGCUCAGCUCCAACCAGUGCAGGUGAUUCCGAGUUCCUGCGACCAGCUCAGCUUGGCUUGGUAAUAAUCUCCGCCUAAUGGAACCCGUCUCAGAACUUGGCCUCCUCCCUGCAUGGCACAGCGGGUGAAGGCCCGUUCCCAAGCAUCCGGCCUCCGAACCAUCAGAACCGCACCUCUGCUGCUUGAUGUCACGAAGGGAGUAGCGUCUGGAUGGCCAGGCAGACUGGGCAGUCCAUUUAUGUCUCCAGUCUCACAGACCAAGCUUGAGGGCUGGAGGAAAGAACAGGUGUCUGAGGAGUUCCCGUCGUGGCUCAGUGGUAAUCGAACCCAACUAAGCAUCCAUGAGGACGCAGGUUUGAUGCC